rnacentral:rRNA from 1 species
GUGGGGAAUAUUGGACAAUGGGCGCAAGCCUGAUCCAGCCAUGCCGCGUGAGUGAUGAAGGCCCUAGGGUUGUAAAGCUCUUUCGCCAGGGACGAUAAUGACGGUACCUGGAUAAGAAGCCCCGGCUAACUUCGUGCCAGCAGCCGCGGUAAUACGAAGGGGGCUAGCGUUGUUCGGAAUCACUGGGCGUAAAGCGCACGUAGGCGGAUCUUUAAGUCAGGGGUGAAAUCCCGAGGCUCAACCUCGGAACUGCCUUUGAUACUGGGGAUCUCGAGUCCGGGAGAGGUGAGUGGAACUGCGAGUGUAGAGGUGAAAUUCGUAGAUAUUCGCAAGAACGCCAGUGGCGAAGGCGGCUCACUGGCCCGGUACUGACGCUGAGGUGCGAAAGCGUGGGGAGCAAACAGGAUUAGAAACCCGUGUAGUCC